AAACUGUCUGUCACUUCCUUGCCCAAAAUUUUCAAUGGCUCCCCAUUGCCUACUGAUGAAGUACAAGCUUGUUAUCUGGCUCACAAGGGCCUCACAGUCUAGCCCCAACUCACCUCUUUUGGUCUUACUUUUCACAGCUUCCCUGCGGGCACCCUCUGUACUACUCAUCAUUGACCCAAACCACAUGUCUGUACAUCCUGACCCAAGGCUGCCCUGUGGACUGAAAUGCAUCCCUCUGCCUCUGCCUGUCAAAUCAUACCCAUCCAUCAAGUUCCUGAUGAAACGCCUCCUCUCCAAACACCACAUAGCCCAGCUAUGUAUCUGCCUACCUUAUCUCUCUUAACAGACAGUAUGCACCUUGAUGGCAGCUUGUAAUCACCAAAUGGUAGCCAACAGCAUGGAUCUGCUGAAAAGGCAGAUGACAGCGGUAAAACAACAGCGGAGACAGACCACAGACGGAGAUCCAGAAUCUGAGCUGGAGCUGGAUGACAAAUACAGUCCUCUGCCCCAUCUGCCAUGGACCUGGGGGAUGACCCUUCAUUUGCCAGAGGAGGAUGGGAGCUUGUGGGGUGCUAAGACUGACAGUGGAUCCACCCAGCGGGAGAGUCUCUUAAUGACUCGACGGGGAUCCUGUCAGGGCUCUGCCUGCGCUCUCGCUCUGGGGCAUCCUGUGGCUCUCCCAGUAGGGGUGGAGGGGGCGUGGCUGGAUGCUUGCUCAAGGCCCUCCCCAUCCCAGCAGAGUCUUGCCCCCUUGACUCCUGAAGCUGGCUCCUUCUCCAGGCCUCCCCUCCGCACUUCCUGCCACUCUGCUGAAGCAGGCUCCACGGUUCCUCCCAGCUCCAGCCUCCCGCUGGCCUCCUCCACGGCCCUCUGCAUCUGAAGAUGCACCGCAUCCUGGUGUGAGUCUUCAAAUCGAGUCCAUCGGCACAGUGGGUUGUAAGCUCCCUGAAGGCUGAGACUCACCCUGCUCUGCUCAUCACGCUAUGCCCAGCUCAGCCAGCCCACAAGAGGAACCCAAGAAAUAUGUGCUGAACCCA
rnacentral:lncRNA from 1 species